AGAGUAUAUUUUUACGUAUAUGAUUUAUUAGUAUUUUACAUUUUAUCAUAUGCCAGAUAUUAGACUUUAUUACUUUACUCUGAUUAUUUGAUCUUUUGGUUUAUAGUCUAUUAUCUCUUUACACUUUAAAAUGUAUGGAAGUUCUAGUCAGUCAUACUUCAUUGAGCAUAGUUGUAAUAGUAUCUACCUGUCCAACUCAUUAGUAAAUUAAUUGUCACACCUUGUUUACCUUUAUGGUCAAUUCUUAUUGGUCAUUCUGGACACACCUCAGAUUUUGGAAAAGAAGUAAUGGUGGUUAACUCUUGAAAUUUGGAGACAUACAUAUUUAAUAUAUACUUCUUAUUUAAACCGUAUAUAGUGAUGAAAAUUAUAUAGAGACAUUAUAUUUAGUGCUCGUGAUUACUCACUGAAGUUUCCAUACUUUGGAACAACUGUAGUUAUUGAAAAUUACAUUCUUUAUAUCUGGACACAUAGAUUAUGAUGUCCCUGUAACAUACUGGUUGUACUGUAGAUGUUAGAUUUAUAACCUGGUUCCACAGAUUGGGUUAUUUAUUUCCUAUAUUUACUUAAUAAAGUGAUGUCAAAGAACCCUAGACUUGUCGUUUAUGGAUACCCCGUAAAACACGACUAUCACAGUACCCCGC